CGUGGCGGGUGCUUAACACAUGCAAGUCGAACGAUGAAGCCCAGCUUGCUGGGUGGAUUAGUGGCGAACGGGUGAGUAACACGUGGGUGAUCUGCCCUGCACUUCGGGAUAAGCCUGGGAAACUGGGUCUAAUACCGGAUAGGACCUCGGGAUGCAUGUUCCGGGGUGGAAAGGUUUUCCGGUGCAGGAUGGGCCCGCGGCCUAUCAGCUUGUUGGUGGGGUAACGGCCCACCAAGGCGACGACGGGUAGCCGGCCUGAGAGGGCGACCGGCCACACUGGGACUGAGACACGGCCCAGACUCCUACGGGAGGCAGCAGUGGGGAAUAUUGCACAAUGGGCGCAAGCCUGAUGCAGCGACGCCGCGUGAGGGAUGACGGCCUUCGGGUUGUAAACCUCUUUCAGUACCGACGAAGCGCAAGUGACGGUAGGUACAGAAGAAGCACCGGCCAACUACGUGCCAGCAGCCGCGGUAAUACGUAGGGUGCGAGCGUUGUCCGGAAUUACUGGGCGUAAAGAGCUCGUAGGCGGUUUGUCGCGUCGUCUGUGAAAACCCGCAGCUCAACUGCGGGCUUGCAGGCGAUACGGGCAGACUUGAGUACUGCAGGGGAGACUGGAAUUCCUGGUGUAGCGGUGAAAUGCGCAGAUAUCAGGAGGAACACCGGUGGCGAAGGCGGGUCUCUGGGCAGUAACUGACGCUGAGGAGCGAAAGCGUGGGUAGCGAACAGGAUUAGAUACCCUGGUAGUCCACGCCGUAACGGUGGGCGCUAGGUGUGGGUUUCCUUUCCACGGGAUCCGUGCCGUAGCUAACGCAUUAGCGCCCCCGCCUGGGGAGUACGGCCGCAAGGCUAAAACUCAAUGAUUGACGG
rnacentral:rRNA from 1 species